rnacentral:rRNA from 1 species
CCUACAGAAGAAGCCCCGGCUAACUCCGUGCCAGCAGCCGCGGUAAUACGGAGGGGGCUAGCGUUGUUCGGAAUUACUGGGCGUAAAGCGCACGUAGGCGGCUAUCCAAGUUGGGGGUGAAAUCCCUGGGCUUAACCCAGGAACUGCCUUCAAAACUGGAUGGCUAGAGUCCGAGAGAGGUGAGUGGAAUUUCCAGUGUAGAGGUGAAAUUCGUAGAUAUUGGAAAGAACACCAGUGGCGAAGGCGGCUCACUGGCUCGGUACUGACGCUGAGGUGCGACAGCGUGGGGAGCAAACAGGAUUAGAUACCCGUGUAGUC